UGGAGUGGAGGAAUCUGAAGGAGCGACUCAGAGAGCGGAUGAAGACAGCUUGUCUACAGAGAGCCUUGACUGUGCAUCGCAUGACUCCAGCUCCCAGUGCAACCAGUCUCUGUCCCCCCGUCCCCACACCGACGGCUCAAACCCUGCCAGCUGGAGCCGCCAUCUCAUCCAGCAGACUCUAAUGGACGAAGGCCUGCGAUUGGCUCGUAUGGUGUCACACGAUCGGGCGGGGAAGCUCUGCCUGGGGCCGGAGGGAACCCACUCAGCAGACCGUGACAUCAAGGUGGAGCGGCCGAUCUCGAUAACCGUGUGCAGGAGCAGUAGCCCUUGUGUUGCCAAAGAGCCAACCAUCACCUCCAACCACAGAGGAAAGUGAAACCUGCCGUCCAUCCAGGAGAGCGGCGCUCAGAGAGGGGACUCAAAAACGAGCUGUAAAUCUGAGACUUUGCAAUCAUCUGACUAAACAGGCCUGUCAUGACUUGUAAACACAAUCAGCUGUAAAAUGACGAUCUCAAAAGAGGUUCUGUUUUUAUAUAUAUAUCAGUUGGAUGGAAGGGAACCCGUCUUUGUUUUAGUGUCCUGCAGAGCUUAGCUGUAUUCUGUCAGGGAAAGUGUUUUAUGUUACUGCGAGUGCCGCUGCGUGCAGGAGGAUCCACCUGCCACGGAUGAAACACGUUUGCGCAGCAGGGGGCACUGCGACUUUGGUAGAAGUUCCUCCACACUGAGCAACACUGCAGAGGAAAUGGGUGUUUAGCAGAGACCUUUCUUUUUGCAAGUUACAACAUAAUGCUCUGGAGCUCGUCACCUCAGGAAACCACUGGAUGCUUUGUUUAGGACAGAGGUCAGCAUCGUGCAAGUCAAACUAACUCUCUAAUAGUACUUUGCAAGAAUGCUCAUAUUCCAGAACAUUUUAGCGUUUGUUACUUUAUAAUGGCAAGCUCCAAUUUCUUUUAUUUUUUCUGUUUUCUUUUUUUCAUAUAUAUAUCCACAAAAAGAUAGCACAGGUCCAUGUUAUCCUGUAAAUAGGGCCUUUUAAUGGUGCCCCACACAAAGCUGGCAACAGAAGGAGGGCGAACCUUUUCCCCAGAAGCGCCCCCAGACUGAUGGACUAUGUCGUUUCCUUUUUUAUUUCAAAGCCAGUUAAAUCUGUCUUUUUCAAUCAGGUUUUAAUUAAUUUGUUUAAUGGGUCUAUUGUCAAAAACUUUAUUUUCAUCUUGAGAACUAAAAAAUAAAGUUUUACUUCCUUAGCUACUUAUUUAGAAGGAAAGUAUUACAUGAUGUUUUUACAAAUUAAAUCCUAAAACACUCUGCUGCGCAGUUGGUGGCACAGAAUUUUUUUUUUUUUUAUGGUACCCGAGUAAUGGAAGUUCAUGCAUACUUGUAAUUCAUUUCUAUUUGUAAGGAACUUUAAAAGUCUUCUAUGUUUUUCCUUUCGCUUCACAAUCACGCGCCACGUUAUCACAUAAAAUGCGCUGAAGCUUGCGGUUGUAACGUAUCAGAAUGUGAAGAUGUUUAAAGGGGAUGCAUACUUUUGUCGAGGCUAAAAAGAGUUUCUUAUUUAGGAGGUGUUGAGUUGGAUUUUAAAAAGCGUGUGGAUUAGACUAGACAAUCAUUCAGAUUUGAAUUGUGUGUGUGUUAUACUCAUUACUUUCUGUUGCACAAAUGGUCGACAUGGUGUUUUGACAAAUCCCUUGAAUUUUACCUUGCCCAACAUGAUGAAAAUGUUUGUUUUCUUAAUCGAGUUGCUAAAACUAUAACCCCCUGGACCGGCAUUGUCAAGCUCAACGGUGGGGGGGGUUUCACUCCGACUUUGGCUUUUGUCCCAUUUAGAGUAUAUUGUGGUCCACUAAAGGUAACGUUGUACAGUUGUUGAGAACACUGCGUUUAAAACUACAUUGAAAGCCUCUUAAUUUAAAAAGCUGUUUGACGCAACUCUUCAGGGUGAUCUUACAGCCAAUUAGUCGUGGCUUUAAGAUUUUUCUGCCGUCUUAGACAAAAAAAAAA